rnacentral:ncRNA from 1 species
UUAGUAAAGGUACAUAUCUGACUUGUUUUAUAUUGUCUCUUUUGCUCUGAGAAAAUCCCCCUUGGCUGCGAGUUCUCUCUUCCUCUGUCUCUGUAUCAAGCCGGUUUGGGCGCUCUGUGUCCUCCAACUACAAGCUACUAUGAAUGGGUGCGGGCGCCGACAAGGGGUUUAUUGUUGGUUUUUUUGUUUUGUGGAAUUUGAAAUUUUAUGUUUUUUAAUUUUUUUAAAUAACCUUAUAACAAUCGACUCAGAGGUGGUUCAGACAAGGGGAAUCUGACUAUUUAAUUAAAACAAAGAAUUGCGAUGGUCCUUGUGGAUGCUGACGCAAUGUGAUUUCUGCCCAGUGCUCUGAAUGUUAAAGUGAAUAAAUUCAACCAAGCAUGGGUAAAUGACAGGAGUAACUAUGACUCUCUUAAGGUAUCCAAAUGCCUCGCCAUCUAAUUAGUGAUGCACAUGAAUGGAUUAACUAGAUUCCCACUAUCCCUAUCUACUAUUUAGUGAAACCACAACCAAGGGAAUGGGCUUGGCAUAAUCAACAGGGAAAGAAGGCCUUGUUGAGAUUGACUCUAGUCUGACUUUGUGAAAUGAAUUGAGAGUUGUAGAAUAAGUGGGAAUCAUUUUCGCCACGAAUGAAAUACCACUACUUUUAACAUUAUUUUACUUAUAGUUUUGUGGGGCGGAGACGAGGCAGUUACCCUAUUUUUUGCCUUAAGUCAUGUUUCAAUGGGUCGAUCUGGGCGGAACACAUUGCUAGGUGGGGAUUUUGGACAGCGAAACACAUCUAUUAAAAGAUAACAUAAAAUAUAAUUGGUGUAGUUAGAACAUUUGUGUUUGGGAGAUCCUAGUGCAUAACCACCCUUAUUACCUUUCCCUCCUAAUUUGUAG